AUGGAGUCUUACUCUGUUGCCCAGGCUGGAGUGCAGUGGCAUGAUUUCGGCUCAGUGCAACCUCUGCCACCUGGGUUCAAGCGAUUCUCCUGCCUCAGCCUCCUGAGUAGCUAGGAUUCCAGAUUAUACUUUUGGUGUCAUGACUAAGAACCAUUUGCUGACCCCUGGAUCCUGAAGAUUUUCUCUUAUGUUUUUUUCUAAGAUUUUAUAGUUUUAUUUUUUCAUUUAAGUUACAUCCAUUUGAAUUAAUUUUUAUCCAAAAAAUACUGUUUUUCUUUCAUUGUAGGCCUGUCUCUGUAUAAAUUCAAUUUGAAAAUAUGGCAAUAUGUAUCUUUGAUUUUCAAAUGAACAAGCUCAUAAAUACAAAAAUUGAAGGCAUAACAAGAAAAUAA